rnacentral:rRNA from 1 species
UACGAACCGUCCAAACGUUAUUCGGAAUUACUGGGCUUAAAGGGUGCGUAGGCGGCCUGACAAGUUGGGUGUGAAAUACCUCGGCUCAACCGAGGAAUGGCGCUCAAAACUGUAAGGCUAGAGGAAGAUAGAGGUGAGCGGAACUUAAGGUGGAGCGGUGAAAUGCGUUGAUAUCGGAAGGAACACCCGUGGCGAAAGCGGCUCACUGGAUCUUUUCUGACGCUGAUGCACGAAAGCUAGGGGAGCAAACGGG